rnacentral:rRNA from 1 species
GUCCUCGGGUUUUAGGGAGAAAAAAAUAUUUAGUCUAGGUGAUACAUGCUAGUGUAUGCGAACAGGUGAGGAUAAAAUAAAAAAAUUUUUUUUAUUUGUUGUAUUAAAAAAAGAAAAGUUUUUUAUUCUUUUUUUGAAGAUGCAUAGUUUAACCACAUUUUCACUGAAACAAAGGAAAACCUUUGGCAGCAGUAACAGGUUUUAUGUAAUAUACGAAAGUAAGACAUAGGUGGGAGAAAAAAAAUCUGUCAAAUAUAAGUGCCAGCAGACGCGGUAAAACUUAAGGAUUUAUUUUUUAAUAAAAAGCAAAAAGCGUGUUAAGGAUUUUUAAAAAAAAAAAAAUAAAUAGAAUUUUUUUUCGUAAUUGUGAAAUGUUGGAAUGAAAAAAAGAAUUUUUUAUAUGAAAAUAAUUUAUUUUUUUUUUCUUAAACACGAAGGUUUUGGGAGCAAACAGGAUUAGAGACCCUGGUAGUCUAUACAGUAAAAGAAUAUCGCUUGAGUAGUACGGUCGCAAGAUUGAAAUUCAAAAGACUUGGCUGUUCGGUUGUUAAUUAGAGGAGCGCGUCGCUUAAUUCGAUAAUCCGCGAGAGACCUUACCGAAGUUUGAAUUUAUUAACAGGUGUUGCAUGGCCGUCGUCAAUUUCUGUUUGAAACAAAAAGGGGUUUAAUCCUAUCAAGGUUGAAGUCAGGUAAUAUGACCCUUAUAUUUCGGGGUUAGGCGCGCUACAUUUCUCUCUUAGAAAAGGAGGGGUUCGGAUUGUUUUUAAAAUAAGAUAAUGAAGUUGUAUUUAAUAGUAAUUGAAAAGUAGUGCGUUUCAAUGAACGUGAAAACAAUGUUAGUACAAAUAGCCCGUCGCCAGCCCAGAAAUAGGCUGUAAGUCGUAACAUAGUAAGAGUGAGGGAACUGGCUCUUG